CCACUCAUUUAUUCCGUCUAAAUAAUGAGCUUAUUUACUUUUACACAAUAUAAUAAAAAGGAAUAACUGCAUUAAAUCAAACAAUUCACAACUUUUGCAGUAAAACUACAAUAAUCAGAUGAUCUAUUUUUUGCAUAAACAAUAAAAUUAUAACUAUCAUCAACUCUUAAUAAAUCCAGCCACCAUAUGAACACUCAUCCGACAAAAAAAGAAGAAGCAAAAGAUCAAUUUUUUUUUGAAAGAUCACAAAUUAAGUUCUGCACGAUCAACUCCUCCAAUAACCUCAGCAACAAACUUCUCCACCCAGUAGUCUCAAGCUUCUACCCAGACACUCAGAAAGCCCCAAAAAUCAAUUCUUUUAAACCUGAAAAGAUAAUACUAUUCAAUUCUUGAAAGAAAAACAAAAGAGAGGAGAAAUUGAUUCUUGACAUGUUCCUUUAAACUUGAGCCGCAAUGGGAAAGCAAGCCACCUAAUACAUUACUGUAAAAGAAACUAAAGUUAUAUUUAUGCAAUAAACAAUAUAUCCUCCCUUCCUAAAUCAGAUUCAAUCUUCCAAAUCCAGACAGGCCGCAACUUUUCUACACACAUUCCUGCACUCUAAUCUCAAGACACAAUCAUGAUUAGCGAGAUCCCAAUGUCUUAUUACAUAAAUCAAAUCUUAUUUGAGAGUUGGCAUUUUACUUGAAAUUAAUGAGUGAGAAUGCAAAGAAGCAGAGACAAGAAGCAGAAGAAGCUCCAAAGCAGUUGCUCACAGGCAUUCUGCGCCACUUGCAGGCUCAGCGUGUCUUCUUCUCCCGAAGAAGCCGAAGCCCAACGGAUAAGCUCAGACACUUCAACUUCAUGCUGUUUUUUAAGAUUGUUGUUCUGUUCAAGUUGUAAUAGAAGGCAGCUUCUACUUGUGCCAGUGCUUGAUGUAAAAUCGCUUCUAGCAUGUGCCCCUGCAUAUCCAAAGGCUAUCCGAAGGCAGCUUCUUCCUGUCCAUACAAAGUUAUCAAGAAUUGAUCAACAAAAACGCAUACAAAGAUAUAAGAAUCUUAUCAACAAAAAUGUGUAUGCAUAUGCUGACUCGUACGAUCUCAAGAAUGAUUUUAUGCACUUUAUCUCAGGUGCUGCUGUGGAAGAACAUCAAGAACAUAAAAAUUCAAAUACCCUUCUGCUUUCAGCAGCAAAUCAACAGCAUCUCUCCUGCAAUCUGAUCACCAUAUCAACACUCCUACCGGAUUCCAGCAGCCUGAAAGCAUAACCAAGACAUUGCUCAACUUUUAUCUACCCACAUGGAGGACACGAAAAAUGAGCAACUUUCAAAAACUAAAAUAUUUUAUGAUGCCAAACAUUGAUUAGAUUACCUAAUACAUAUAUGAUUCAUUCUUCUAUUUACAUUAUCCCAAGCCUAUAUGAUUAGAAGUUAGAACGUAUAAGUACCCUAUCUCAGCUGUCUUCAAUGGCGACUGCGCCCGGUGACGACAAUGGUC
rnacentral:lncRNA from 1 species